GAUGAAGAACGUAGCGAAAUGCGAUAAGUAGUGUGAAUUGCAGAAUUCAGUGAAUCAUCGAAUCUUUGAACGCAUCUUGCGCUCCUUGGUAUUCUGAGGAGCAUGCCUGUUUGAGUGUCAUUAAAUUCUCAACUACACUGACUUUGAAUUGGUGUGGCUUGGAUUUGGGGGGAAAAUUGUUGUGGGCUUUUUGUAUAGUCUGCUCCCCUGAAAUUGAUUAGCGGUACCUUUGUGGAACUGUCUACAGGUGUGAUAAUUAUCUACAUCUUAGACAUCUGCUGGAAUGCUGCUUUCUAAACCUUACUUGUAUUGACAAUCUUGACCUCAAAUCAGGUAGGACUACCCGCUGAACUUAAGCAUAUCAAUACGCGGAGGA
rnacentral:misc_RNA from 1 species